rnacentral:lncRNA from 1 species
UUUGCCUGGUUUCUCUAAUAGUUCAUUUUUAGUGUAUAGAAAUGCAACUUAUUUUCCUAUAUUGAUUUUGUAUCCUGCACCUUUGCUACAUUUGUUUCUUUGUUCUAACAGUAUUUUGGUGGAGUCUUUAGAGUUUUUCUCUGAUAUCCUAUUAUCUCUGCAAACAGAGACUCUUCUACUUUUUUUUCUGAUUUGGAUGUAUAUUUUUACUUUUUCUGGUCUGAUUGCUGUAGAUAGGGCUUCCGAUACUAUUUGAAUAAACAUGGUGAGAGUGUACAUCCUUGUCUUGUUCCCGAUAUUAGAGGAAAAGCUUUUGGCUUUUCACCAUUGAGUAUAAUGCUGGCUGUGGGCUUGUCAUAUAUGGCCUUUAUUAUGUUGAGAUAUGUUCCCGCUCAACCCAUUUUGUUGAGAGUUUUUAUCAUGAAUGGAUGUUGAAUUUUGUAAGAUACUUUUUCUGCACCUGUUGAGAUGAUUAUAUGAUUUUUAGCCUACAUUUUGUUAAGGUGAUGUGUCACAUUUAUUUGUGGAUGUUGCCUCCUUGGAAUAAAUUCCACUUGAUCAUGGUGUAUGUUCCUUUUACUAUGAGUUUGGAGGUAUUCCCUCCUAUUUUUUGGAAGAAUUUGAGAAAGAUUUGUAUUAGUCUUUAAAUAUUUCAUAGAAUGCAUUUGUGAAGCCAUCUGGUUCUGGAUUUUUGUUUGUUGGGAGGUUUUUGAUUACUGAUUCAAUCUCCUUACUAGUAAUUGCUCUGUUCAGAUUUUCUAUUUCUUCAUGAUCCAGUCUUUAUAGGCUAUAUGUUUCUAGGCAGGCAUUCAUUUCUUCUAGGUUGUCCAAUUUGUUAGCACAUAACUGCUCAUUGUAGUCUUUUAUGAUCCUUUUUAUUUCUGUGGCAUCAGCUUUUUUUGGGGGGGGGUGGCACGCAUGCAGCAAAUGGAGGUUCCCAGGACAGGGGUUGAAUAGGAGCUGCAGCUGCCAGUCUACAGAAAAAGACAAAGCCCACAUAAAACAGGUAGGAGAGGUUGAGAUGCAGUCUCACCAAACCCCACCCUGGGUGUAGUUGACAACAACUGGGAGGGAAGUUGUAACUCCCAGCUCCUCCCUCAGGAGUAAAGAGUCUGGAAUACAUAUCUGGUGCCCCAACUUUUAAGACCUCCAUUUGAGAGAUGGCCCCUAAAAAUAUCUAGCUUGAGAGCUCCCUUGUGGCAUAGCGGUUAAGGAUCUGGCAUUGUCACUGCAGUGGCUUGCUGCUGUGGCAUGGGUUUAAUCCCUGGGCCAGCAUAGUCCACUAAACUAGUCUUAUAAGAAAUGUUAAAGGGGCUUCUUUAAGCUGAAACAAAAGGGUGCUAAUUAGUAAAAGAAAACAUCCAAGUCUAAAUCUCUCUGAUAAAGGUAAAUAAAUAGCCAAAUUCAGAAUAAUAAAAUACUGUAAUGGUGGUAGGUUCAUCAUUCAUAAGUCUACCAUGAAGGUUAAAAGACAGAAGUAGUAAGAAUAACUAUAACUACAGUAAUUUGUUAGUGUAUAAAAAAGAUGAAAAGAUGUAAACUGUGACAUCAAAAACAUUAAAUGUGAGAACUAUGUCUAGAUACUUACAUCGCAACAGAACAAUAGAAGGAAAAAAAUGUAUACAUGUUUGUGUAACUUGGUUCCCAUGCUGUACAGUGGAAAAAAUAAAUUAAAAAAAAAGAAUCAGAAACAAAACAAAACAAAACAAAAAAUGUUAAAUGUUGGCAAGGGGAAUAACAAUGCAGAGCUUUAGAAUGCAUUUAAGUUAUCACCUUAAAAUAGACUGUUAGAAUUCUAAGAUGUUUUUAUGUAAAGCUCAUGGUACCCAAAGUAAAAAAACCUAUAGUAGACCCAGAAAAGAUUAAAAAGAAUCUAAGCCCACUGCUAUGGAAAAAUCAUCAAAGCACAAGGAAGAGAGCAAGAGAAGAAGAAAGGGACUGAAUUAUAAAACGGCCAGAAAAUCAAAUGGCAAUAAUAAGUCCACAUCUGUCACUAAAUAAAUGUAAGUAACUGGACUAAAUUCUCCAAUCAAGACAUAGAGCAGCUGGAUGAAUUUAUAAAACAAGACCCAACUCCAUACUACAUACAAGAGACUUUGUCUUUUUCACCCAGUGUAUAGGAAUUGCUCGGCUGGUUUCUGGAUAUUCUUCAGAGGGAAUUGUUCUAUGUGUAGCUGUAGAUUUGGUGGGAGGAGGUGAUUUCAGGAACCUCCCAUAUUGCCUUUUUUUGUAUUUUUAGUGCUGUGCCUGCAACAUAUGGAAGUUCCCAGGCUAGCGGUCAAAGCAGAGCUGCAGCUGCCAGCCUACACCAUGGCCACUGCAACACGGGAUCUGAGCCCUAUCUGUGAUGACACCACAGCUCAUUCCAAUGCCCCAUCCUUAACCCUCUGAGCAAGGCCUGGGAUGGAAUCCAUGUCCUCAUGGAUACUAGCUGAGUUCAUUACUGAUUAAGAACGUGACAGUGUCUGUGAGGAUUCAGGUUUGAUCCCUGGCCUCGCUCAGUGGGUUAAGGAUCUGGCAUUGCCACGAGCAGCAGUGUAGGUUGCAGAUGUGGCUUGGAUCUGCUAUUGCUAUGGCUGUGGCGUAGGUCUGCAGCUGCAGCUCCAAUUUGACCCCUAGCCCAGGAACGUCCAUAUGCCUCAGGUGUAGUAAAACAAAGACAUUAAGAGUAUUUCACUGUAUUGAUGUACUGUAAUUUAAUCUGCUUACCUGUUGAUAGAGAUUUGAGUUGUUUUCAGUUGCCUGUUGUGAUUCAAGCUGUGUGUGUGUGUAGAUAAUAUUUUAAUUUCUCUAGAGCAACUAACCUAAAAGUGGAAGUGCUAGAUCAUAGGGUAAAUACGUACUUUGUUUUGUAAAGAACUACUGAGCAGUUCUCUGAAGUGGCUUCCUUGCUCACCCAAGUGCAUAAGAACUCCAUUUGUUCCACGUACUCGCCAACACUUGAUUUUAGUCAUUUCAACGAGUGGGUUAUGGAACCUCAUUGUGGUUUAAAUUUGUAUUUCUCUGAUCACAUAAAACUGUCCAUUGCCUUUCCAUGUGCUGAUUGGCAAUUUGUUUAUCUUCUUUUGCGAAAUGUCACUUUUAAUUUUUUUUAAUGGAAGAAUAGCUGAUUUACAAUGUUGUGUUCGUUUCAGGUGUACAGCAAAGCAAUUCAGUUACACACACACGUAUAUGUAUGCACGCAUACAUAGUUCAGAUUCUUUUCCCAUAUAAGUUGUUACAAAAUAUUGGGUAUAGUUCUCUGUGCUAUAUGGUGGGACCUUACUGUUUUAUCUAUUUUAUCAUAGUAGUGUAUAUAUGUUACUUUUAAAUUCAAUUUAUUCCUCCCACCUUUCCCCUUUGGUAGCUAUGUUUUCUAUGUCUGGGAGGUCUCUUUAAAUUUUUUUUUGCCAAGAUGUUAAAACUGGGUUAUUUCUAUUGCAGAUUUGUAUUUGUGUGUCAUCCAUAUUUAUGCAUUAUGGAGAUAAAUCCUUUUCUUAGCUACCUCCUCCUGAUUUCUGAUCAAUUCAAUCUAGAGAGCUGUGGUUCUACUUGUGUUAGUAGGCUUAUGAUAAUCCCUUCUCAGUUAGCCAUGCCAAUGAGAAUAUUUAAGAAUAUUUAAGGGAGUUCCCUUUGUGGCUCAGCGGUUAAUGAAUCCCACUAGGACCCACGAGGAUGUGGGUUCAAUCCCUGGCCUCGCUCAGCAGGUUGAGGAUCCAGUGUUGCCGUGAACUGUGGUGUAGGUCACAGAGGCGGCUCAGAUCCCAUGUGGCUGUGGCUAUGGCUGUGGCUGGCCUGGCAGCUGUAGCUCCGAUUUGACCCCUUGCCUGGGAACCUCCAUAUGCUGCGGGUGUGGCCCUAAAAAGCAAAAAAAAGAAAAAAAAAAAA